GGACACCUGUACUCGCUCGUCUCCUUGUGUUAAGGUGCAUCUAGUGCAGUUAGUGACAUAGUGUAGCAUCUACUGCCCUAAAUGCUCCUUUUGGCACAGGUUGUUUCACGAUCAUCUCUUGACUU
rnacentral:precursor_RNA from 14 species